rnacentral:rRNA from 1 species
UACGGGGGGUGCAAGCGUUGUUCGGAAUUACUGGGCGUAAAGGGUUCGUAGGCGGCUAACUAAGUCAGACGUGAAAUCCCUCGGCUUAACCGGGGAACUGCGUCUGAUACUGGAUGGCUUGAGUUCGGGAGAGGGAUGCGGAAUUCCAGGUGUAGCGGUGAAAUGCGUAGAUAUCUGGAGGAACACCGGUGGCGAAGGCGAGUCUCUGGGCCGAAACUGACGCUGAGGAGCGAAAGCGUGGGGAGCAAACAGG